rnacentral:rRNA from 1 species
GGAAGGUCCGGGCGUUAUCCGGAUUUAUUGGGUUUAAAGGGAGCGUAGAUGGAUGUUUAAGUCAGUUGUGAAAGUUUGCGGCUCAACCGUAAAAUUGCAGUUGAUACUGGAUAUCUUGAGUGCAGUUGAGGCAGGCGGAAUUCGUGGUGUAGCGGUGAAAUGCUUAGAUAUCACGAAGAACUCCGAUUGCGAAGGCAGCCUGCUAAGCUGCAACUGACAUUGAGGCUCGAAAGUGUGGGUAUCAAACAGGAUUAGAUACCCUGGUAGUCCACACGGUAAACGAUGAAUACUCGCUGUUUGCGAUAUACAGCAAGCGGCCAAGCGAAAGCAUUAAGCAUCCCACCUGAGGAGU